rnacentral:rRNA from 1 species
GACGUAGGGGGCAAGCGUUGUCCGGAAUUACUGGGCGUAAAGGGUGCGUAGGCGGCAAUGCAAGUCUGAUGUGAAAACCCCAUGCUUAACAUGGGAGUUGCAUUAGAAACUGUAUAGCUAGAGUACAGGAGAGGUAAGUGGAAUUCCUAGUGUAGCGGUGAAAUGCAUAGAUAUUAGGAGGAACACCAGUGGCGAAGGCGACUUACUGGACUGUAACUGACGCUGAUGCACGAAAGCGUGGGGAGCAAACAGGAUUAGAUACC